UACAGGGGGGGCAAGCGUUGUUCGGAAUUACUGGGCGUAAAGGGCCAGUAGGCGGCCAACUAAGUCACACGUGAAAUCCCUCGGCUUAACCGGGGAACUGCGUCUGAUACUGGAUGGCUUGAGUUUGGGAGAGGGAUGCGGAAUUCCAGGUGUAGCGGUGAAAUGCGUAGAUAUCUGGAGGAACACCGGUGGCGAAGGCGGCAUCCUGGACCAACACUGACGCUGAGUGAGCGAAAGCCAGGGGAGCAAACGGG
rnacentral:rRNA from 1 species